UUUGCCCGCUGAUUAAUGACAAAUCAUUGGGCACCAGAAGGCAGAGGGCAUGUUUGGAAGGUAAACAUCGGUCCGAUUCAUUGGCCAAGCCUCUCGUCAUCUCACCAUUCUGACAUCAUUUCCACAUAGACAUUGAGGCUCGCUUCAUUCAGAUUCAAAAGUCUUCAUAUGCGUAAAGAAGUUCGAGAGCAAAACAAAAACAAAAUCAAAGAAAUCUGGAGAAGAAUCAAAGAGCCUUUGGCUGAAGUUCAACUGAAACGAAAUUGUCCAAUAUUUUUUGGCUGAUUAAAGCGCUCAAUUGAAACUGAGUGCAAGGGCGGCAAUUAUUGCACCAGAAAUCAAAUUGUUUGACUUUAAGAUCCAGAUAAAGCAGGAACAUUCCUUUCCCGCUUUAUUGUUUUCUGAUAGCUAUGAAUUGAUGUAUUUUUGCUUUCACGGGCUGAAACUCAAAUUGGUAUCCGAGAUGAACUCGAGAAUAAUAUUAUUGUAUCCUCAAAGUUCGGCACAAUCUAUGAUUCGUUCGAGUCUCUUUAUUCAAUUUUAGCCCAUGUUCCACCCCUCGAACUUAAAUAGAGCAAAAAUUUGAAAAUCAUGUUCAACUAUCCGAAUUUAUUAGAAUACAAAGAAGGCUUUAACUUUGAUCCAUAUUUGUCGUACUGUAGUUGUAAGGUUCAUUGUGACUCAACUAAUGACAUGCCUAAUCCAAAGCAAUCCCAGGCUAUCAAAAGCUUAUCAAACAAACAACGUUUGGUUGGAAUUCCGAGCCUAUAAGUGACCGAAAGGUGUUGAGCUGUUGGGAUAAUUCCAUUAUCAGGCCAGGAAAGAUAUGAUGAGCUCAAUACAACGAAAAUAGGGAAAAGGUCAUAAUCUUCAUUCAGAUUUCGUUGAGUGCAAUAAUGGGAGUGCAAAUGAACAUCACAUUUUUUCGAGCUCCUUGGCGACGACAGCAUCAACAUGGAUCGACGCAUUACAUCACUAUUGGAGCAGCUUGCGCAGUUUACCUAUUGAUCGCCGGAAGCGCAUUAACUUAUACGGCAUAUGUCGCAGAAAUGGGCCAUCCACACCAUGGCUCAGUAUUGGGAAUACCAUCGCAAUACUUAGGGAUCGUAUUUUUGGUGCUUGGUUUUCUGAUCUUAUUUUUUAUAUUGAUCCUCAUCUUAGUCGGCUUGAUUUUGAAUUUUAAGGAAUAAAAAAAAGACUGUUGCUA